rnacentral:rRNA from 1 species
AGGGUGGAUUCCAUCGCAUGGAAGCACACAACGAAUGGUGAAUACACCACAGCCUCGGCGUAUAGGGCGCAAUUCUUGGACAUUGCACGCACAGAAAUGAAUAAAACCAUUUGGAAGGUUUGGGCUCCACCAAAAAUCAAGUUCUUUGCUUGGCUAGCAAUUCAAAAUCGUGUUUGGACCGCCGACCGUUUGGCCAAGCGAGGUUGGGACAAUUGCGGACUUUGCCCACUAUGCAAGAGGGAGCAAGAAUCUGUGGCUCACCUCUUCUACAAGUGCCGAUACACGUUGAGGCUCUGGGAAAUGCUGAAAGUAUGGCUACAAUUGGAUACCAUGGAUAUUACUACUUGGAUGGGGGAACGAUCGAUCAAGAAUUGGUGGACAAGGAUGUCUAGCGCAACGAGGGUGCAUAGGAAAGCUAUGGCCUCCCUCACAAUGCUUGUU